CUUUGAUUUUUGGCUUAGAAGAUGGCUAGAAUGAGAUCUCAUUUGGAAGCUACAGGCUCGGGGAUCGUCAGCAACUAGUCACACUAUCACUAUCCACUGCUUGUUACUGUUAUGUUUUGAAUUAUUUUAUGGCAUGUAAAGAAUAGACCAGUGGCCGAAGAAUAUUUUGGUUAAUGUAUAUAAGCCAUGCGAAAA